rnacentral:rRNA from 1 species
CUGCUGCCUCCCGUAGGAGUCUGGGCCGUAUCUCAGUCCCAAUGUGGCCGGUCAACCUCUCAGUCCGGCUACUGAUCGUCGCCUUGGUAGGCCGUUACCCUGCCAACUAGCUAAUCAGACGCGAGGCCAUCUUCCAGCGAUAAAUCUUUGACAUUCAAACCAUGCGAUUCAAAUGUGUCAUGCGGUAUUAGCAGUCGUUUCCAACUGUUGUCCCCCUCUGGAAGGCAGGUUCCUCACGCGUUA